UACAGUUGCUGUUACUUUGAUCUGUCUUGGGAGGUGCCUCAGAACACCACUGCUCUCUUUCAGGGAGCCACUCAGGGAAAUGGGGUGAGAAGGGAGCUCUCAGAAACUUGGAAAACUUAACUUCUGUGGGAUCCCUCAGAAGGCAUGUGGCUGCAUCCCACCAGGCUGAAGGUAGGGGGCGCCAGGGGGCUGGGUCCUGUAAGGUUGGAGCUGGGGGCUGGGAUUCACCAAAGAGAAACAAAAGAAACUGGAAGCCGUUAUCACGGGCCGGGCUGUCCUCGGGGAACAUUCUGGGAAGAAAGGAGAAAGCCCCGCUGGCUGGGAGCAGCCAUGCGGGGGGGAUCUGAAGUGACAGGAAAGGUUCCUCCCGCGUCUAUAGAGGCGGGGAACAAAGAACGGAUUCACUACACUACACGAUGAUCCUGUCUUGGUGCCUGGUACAGUCUCAGAGGGAAGACGGAGGGCAAGGGGACUCCUGCUCAAGGCUUUGGAGAAGGAAUAAAGGCUCCUCAAAUGUGAGGGGUUUGCUGUUUAUGCUUAUUUUGGUACUCAGAUCCAUUUAUCUGGAUCUCUAUCCAAAGUGGAGGUGGAAGAUCCGGACUCAUGUUCUGAGGUGGCUGAGGAAGUUUUAGACGGCUCCCAGGCAAGGUGACUGAGGGGGUAUUGGGUGGGACACCAAAGUCCCAGGUUUAGGGGCUCCUGUCUCUUUAGGCCAGUAGUUCUGAACCUUUCUACAGCCCCAUGUCACUCACCAUGUGUGAUACCUGGGCAGUGCUGGGGCACUCUACCAUUUAAGAGCGGAAAGCCAUGGACACAAGUGAGUGAGGAGGUCAGAUUAAAGCAAUAGUCUUGAACCAGCGCCGAUGCUGAAAAUAAGCAAAAAAUUCCCAUCCCAGCCCUCAGGCCUGCGUGCUUAGUUGCGAAGUUUUGUCUGAUUCUUUGUGACCCCAUGGACUGUAGCCCCGCCAGGCUCCUCUGUCAUGGGAUUUCUUAGGCAAGAAUACUGGAGUGGGUUGCCACUUCCUUUUCCAAGGGAUCUUCCUGACCACAGGACUAAUUCUCUAAUCUCAGGAAUUUGUUGGGCAUGAAUUUCGUAGGCUUGGUUAAUUGAAACAUAAUUGAUUGACAAUGUUGUGCCAAUCUUUGUCUGUUGUAUAGCAAAGUGACUCAGUUAUACACACACAGAUAUUCUUAUAUAUUUAAGAAAUCUAAAAUAUGGCACAAAUGAACCAUCUACAGAACAUAACAGACAUAGAGAACAGACUUGUAGUUACCAAGGGGGAGGAAAGUAGGGGAGGGAAGGACUGGGAGUAUGGGAUUAGCAGAU
rnacentral:lncRNA from 1 species